GGGGACAUAGCUCAGUUGGGAGAGCAACAGACUGAAGUCCCUUUCCUUUGGCCUUAGUGUUGUCUUCUGGAGGUCCCCAGUUCAAUCCUGGGUGUCCCCA